rnacentral:rRNA from 1 species
CACGUAGGGCGCAAGCGUUGUCCGGAAUUAUUGGGCGUAAAGGGCUCGUAGGCGGUUUGUCGCGUCGGGAGUGAAACCUCGGGCUUAACUCGGGCUUGCUUUCGAUACGGGCAGACUGGAGGUAUGCAGGGGAGAACGGAAGUUCCUGGUGUAGCGGUGAAAUGCGCGAGAGUAUCAGGAGGAACACCGGUGGCGAAGGCGGUUCUCUGGGCAUGACCUGACGCUGAGGAGCGAAAGCCAGGGAGGCGAACGGG